AAUAUACAAGCUGUUCAACCAAAGACAGUAGGUGUCCCUGUGACAUAAGCUUUGUCGCCUACCGAGGAAUGAGCAUUAUGUAGCACUUUCGUGCAAAUUUAUGUAAUGUCGUGCAUCCUCGAUUUGGGGAUGCACUUUUAUAUUUGUUGG
rfam:Eubacterium coprostanoligenes strain ATCC 51222 genome assembly, contig: EI64DRAFT_scaffold00003.3